CUGGCUCUUCCAUAUCCACAGCACCAAGUCUGGGGACAGCCUCUGAAAGCCGAGUCUGCCACUCACUGAAUCCGACAGCGGACUGCGACAUCUUUCUUGUCCCCGCCGCCUUGCAAUCAUAGUACCUGUAAAAAACAGCAUUAGUUAUAAAGUACAUAAGAAAUUGACAAAAAGUUAACAAUAAUACCGUCUUAUUAAAAAUAUGACGGCUUGCUUCCACUAUC